AAGGCGUUGGUGUAGUGGUCGCAUACCCCCUCGAUGUGCACUCGAACCAGCUUCGAGAGUAGAUCAAGGGCGAGGAGCUUGGUUCGAUUCCAACACGCCUUUCCA
rnacentral:tRNA from 1 species